rnacentral:rRNA from 1 species
GCCAGUUGUGAGAGUACAUGGAAUGUACCAGUUCCCCGUGGAUCACUGGAGUUAAACAACGUUGCGCGUGGAUAGUAUCCGGAUGGGUGACUAUCUGGGGAAUCGCGUGCUGCUGGCU